ACAAUAAUUUAUUGUUUUGCCGCGCAUCUUUGCAUUUCAUUGUGAAGUGAAAUUAUAUUUUUUCUUACAAAAUGCACGCUUUUCUCAAAACUGGUAAGACAACAGGUCUUCCUAAAGUAACUAAUGAAGCAUCUACAUCAGCUGUAAAGGAGAGAAAAUUACCUGCAAGGCCAUGGGUUGAGAAAUACCGUCCCCGUACAGUGGAUGAUGUUGUGGAGCAAGGAGAAGUUGUGGCAGUACUCAAGAGUUCCCUUGAGAGCUGUGAAUUGCCCAAUUUGUUGCUCUACGGGCCUCCCGGAACGGGGAAAACAAGUACAAUCCUUGCGGCAGCACGCCAACUGUUUGGUGAUCUCGCUAAAGAUCGUAUCCUGGAGCUGAAUGCCUCAGAUGAACGUGGAAUUGCUGUUAUUAGAUCAAAAGUGAAGACCUUUGCACAGCUAACGUGUAGCUCAGUGAGACCUGAUGGAAAACCCUGUCCACCGUUCAAGAUUAUUAUCCUCGAUGAAGCUGACUCCAUGACUCAUGCAGCUCAGGCAGCACUCAGGCGUACGAUGGAAAAGGAGAGUGCUACAACACGCUUCUGCCUCGUCUGCAACUAUGUUUCCCGGAUUAUUGAGCCCAUCACUUCGCGAUGCACAAAGUUCCGUUUCAAGUCUCUAGGUCACGAUAAAAUUGUCGAGCGUCUCAAGUUCAUUGCCAAUGAGGAAAAGGUUAAGAUAGACAAUGAUGCUCUGGAAGUGAUUAUUGAAUCCUCCGGUGGAGAUCUCCGACGAGCUAUAACAAUUCUCCAGUCAAGUCAUCGACUUUUUGGGAGUACUGAGAAGAAGAUCACCAAGGAGCACGUCCUGGAGAUUUCUGGUAUUAUUCCACAAAAGUAUUUGGAGGACUUUCUGGAGAUAUGUCGCUCUUGUGACUACUCCAAGCUUGAAAAGUACGUGGAGAAUCUCUCCUAUGAUGCCUACAGUGUGGGUCAACUUCUGGAUCAGUUAAAUGACUACAUUAUCUAUCACAAGCGACUGACCAACAAACAGAAGUGCAUCAUUGGUGAAAAGAUUGCAGAAUGCUCCUUCCGACUACUCAAUGGAGCUUCUGAAUAUUUACAAAUAAUGGAUUUAGGUUGUACAGCUAUUGUGGCAUUCCAGGAGAAUCCCUAAGUAAUUCCAACAAAGGUAUGUUUUCAAUAAAUUUUUCACUUUUUAAUCAACAAAAGAAAAAAAUAACAAAAAAAGGAGAAAAAAAAUUACUCUGCGUUGAUACCACUGCUU